UCACUUUGGCAGUGUAGGUACUAAAACUAGAACAAUACAGAGAACCAUGGCCCCUGUGUAAGUAAGGGAUGACGGCAGAUUCAAAAAGCAUUCCAUAUUUAC
rnacentral:snRNA from 1 species